AGGGCACAGGGCGGAUGCCUUGGCACUAAGAGCCGAUGAAAGACGUGAUAAGCUGCGAUAAGCUUCGGGGAGGAGCAAAUAUCCAUUGAUCCGGAGAUGUCUGAAUGGGGAAACCCACAUGAGCAAACCUCAUGUAUCCAUACGCCAAUCCAUAACGUAUGGAAGGGAACCCGGGGAACUGAAACAUCUAAGUACCCGGAGGAAAAGAAAGAAAACUCGAUUCCGUAAGUAGCGGCGAGCGAACGCGGAGGAGCCUAAACCGGAAUGCGUGCAUUCCGGGGUUACGGACUGCAUUUAAGAUUCUCUGAAGCUAACAGAACGGUUUUGGGAAAGCCGGCCGCAGAGGGUGAAAGCCCCGUACGUGAAAGCUGAUGAGACUGAGCAGGAUCCAGAGUACCACGAGACACGUGGAACCUUGUGGGAAAUCAGGGGGACCACCCCCUAAGGCUAAAUACUACUUAGUGACCGAUAGCGCAUAGUACUGUGAAGGAAAGGUGAAAAGGACCCCGGGAGGGGAGUGAAAGAGAACCUGAAACCUUGUGCCUACAAGCACAUAGAGCCCGUCAAAGGGUGAUAUGGUACUUUUUGUAGAACGGUCCGGCGAGCGAUUGUACGUUGCGAGCUUAAGGUCUUAAGGACUGGAGGCGUAGCGAGAGCGAGUCUAAACAGGGCGUUUAGUAGCGUGCAAUGGGCCCGAAACCGGGUGACCUACCCAUGAUCAGGCUGAAGUGAAAGUAAAAUUUCAUGGAGGGCCGAACCGACCUCCGUUGAAAAGGCGGCGGAUGAAUUGUGGGUAGCGGAGAAAUUCCAAUCGAACUCGGAGAUAGCUGGUUCUCCCCGAAAUAGCUUUAGGGCUAGCCUCAUGUUAGAUAUCCGGAGGUAAAGCACUGAAUGGCCUAGCGUCCGAGAGGAUAGCGAAGCCUAUCAAACUAAGAAUGCCGGAAUAUUGAUGCAUGGGAGUCAGACAGUGUGAGAUAAAUCUCAUUGUCAAAAGGGAAACAGCCCAGAUCUACAGCUAAGGUCCCAAAUUGUAUCUAAGUGGAAAACGAUGUGGAAAUACGCAGACAACCAGGAUGUUGGCUCAGAAGCAGCCACUCAUUUAAAGAGUGCGUAAUAGCUCACUGGUCGAGCGUCUCUGCGCGGAAAAUUUAACGGGGCUAAGAUACAAACCGAAGCUUAGGCUGCACUUUUAGUGCGGGGUAGGGGAGCGUUGUGUAAGCGGAGAAACAGUAGCGAAAGCGGCUGUGGAGUUUACAGAAGUGAGAAUGCCGGAAUGAGUAGCGCGAAUGAUGUGAGAAUCAUCAUGGCCGGAAACCUCAGGUUUUUGGAGGAAGGUUCGUCCGCUCCAAGUUAGGCGGGAGCUAAGGUGAGGCCGAAAGGCGUAGCCGAUGCACAGACGGUAGAGAUUCCGUCCCCACCGAAAGAUUUAAGCGCAGGGACACUUUUAGAAGGUCGGAGCCAGGUGUUGGUUCUGGUAGAGAUCGAGGGAAGAUUAGUACCGAAGUCCGGCUGGAUAAGAGGCGAGAAAAGCUGCGUGUAUAUCUAAGGUGCCCGUACCGCAAACCGACACAGGUAGGUAGGAAGAAGAUUCUAAGGCCAACGGGAGAAGGGUUGUUAAGGAACUCGGCAAGUUGACCCCGUAACUUCGGAAUAAGGGGUGCUCAUGAAAGUGAGCCGCAGAGAAUAGGCCCAGGCAACUGUUUACCAAAAACACAGGUUUGUGCUAAAUCGAAAGAUGACGUAUACGAGCUGACGCCUGCCCGGUGCUGGAAGGUUAAAAGGAGAUGUGCAAGCAUUGAAUUGAAGCCCCAGUGAACGGCGGCCGUAACUAUAACGGUCCUAAGGUAGCGAAAUUCCUUGUCAGGUAAGUUCUGACCCGCAUGAAAGGCGUAAUGAUCUGGGCACUGUCUCAACAGCCCGCCCGGCGAAAUUGUAGUACCGGUGAAGAUGCCGGUUACCCGCGACAAGACGGAAAGACCCCAUGGAGCUUUACUGUAGCCUAAUAUUGGGUUUCGGUGUUGCAUGCACAGGAUAGAUGGGACGCUAGGAAGUGAGUGCUUUGGCAUUCAUGGAGCGGCCGUUGGGAUACCAUCCUUGCGACAUUGGAAUUCUAACCUGCGCCUUUGAAUCAAGGCGGGGGACAUUGUUAGGUGGGCAGUUUGACUGGGGCGGUCGCCUCCUAAAGAGUA
rnacentral:rRNA from 1 species